UGCCCAGCAACUCCUAUCCCUACCUCCACGCGGUACCGGCCGGAAACUAUGAGCAACCUUUGGGAAGAUCGGGUAACCAACCCCGGUGGGACCUUUGGUCGUAGGCUGACAGGGAAGG
rnacentral:ribozyme from 1 species